AUCCUACGCUAUUUCUCUAAGGUCAA
rnacentral:piRNA from 1 species